rnacentral:misc_RNA from 1 species
CGCACAUUGCGCCCGCCAGUAUUCUGGCGGGCAUGCCUGUCCGAGCGUCAUUUCAACCCCUCAAGCCCCGCUUGGUGUUGGGGCCCCUACGUGCGCCGUAGGCCCCGAAUUCCAGUGGCGGGCUCGCCGCGAACCCGGGCGUAGUAGCUUUUGCCUCGCCCAGGGCCCGCGGCGGGCGCCUGCCGUGAAAGAACCCACACUGUGAGACACAAAGGUUGACCUCGGAUCAGGUAGGAAUACCCGCUGAACUUAA